GGAGGAGUGGCCGAGCGGUUUAAGGCGGCGGUCUUGAAAACCGCAGAGGGUUCACGCCCUCCGAAGGUUCGAAUCCUUCCUCCUCCGCCA
rnacentral:tRNA from 6 species